rnacentral:rRNA from 1 species
CGAAAAGUUACUAAGGGCGUACGGUGGAUGCCUUGGCUCUCAGAGGCGAUGAAGGACGCGAUAGGCUGCGAUAAGCCACGGGGAGGAGCAUAAUAUCCUGUGAUCCGUGGAUCUCCGAAUGGGGCAACCCACCCGGUUGAAGACCGGGUAUCCUGAAAAGGAAGCGAACCCAGGGAACUGAAACAUCUAAGUACCUGGAGGAAAAGAAAACAAGUAGUGAUCCCCCUAGUAGUGGCGAGCGAACAGGGGACAGCCCAAACCGGGACCGUUUCGGCGGUGC